CCUACGGGGGGCAGCAGUAGGGAAUCUUCCACAAUGGGCGAAAGCCUGAUGGAGCAACGCCGCGUGGGUGAAGAAGGUCUUCGGAUCGUAAAACUCUGUUGUUAGAGAAGAAAGUGCGUGAGAGUAACUGUUCACGUUUCGACGGUAUCUAACCAGAAAGCCACGGCUAACUACGUGCCAGCAGCCGCGGUAAUACGUAGGGGGCAAGCGUUAUCCGGAUUUAUUGGGCGUAAAGGGAACGCAGGCGGUCUGUUAAGUCUGAUGUGAAAGCCUUCGGCUUAACCGGAGUAGUGCAUUGGAUACUGGGAGACUUGAGUGCAGAAGAGGAGGGUGGAACUCCAUGUGUAGCGGUGAAAUGCGUAGAUAUAUGGAAGAACACCAGUGGCGAAGGCGGCUCUCUGGUCUGUAACUGACGCUGAGGUUCGAAAGCGUGGGUAGCAAACAGGAUUAGAUACCCGGGUAGUC
rnacentral:rRNA from 1 species